rnacentral:rRNA from 1 species
CCUACGGGGGGCAGCAGUGGGGAAUAUUGGACAAUGGGGGGAACCCUGAUCGAGCGACGCCGCGUGAGUGAAGAAGUAUUUCGGUAUGUAAAGCUCUAUCAGCAGGGAAGAAAGAAAUGACGGUACCUGACUAAGAAGCCACGGCUAACUACGUGCCAGCAGCCGCGGUAAUACGUAGGGGGCAAGCGUUAUCCGGAUUUACUGGGUGUAAAGGGAGCGUAGACGGCGAUGCAAGUCUGAAGUGAAAGGCGGGGGCCCAACCCCCGGACUGCUUUGGAAACUGGAUGGCUUGAGGGCAGGAGAGGUAAGUGGAAUUCCUAGUGUAGCGGUGAAAUGCGUAGAUAUUAGGAGGAACACCAGUGGCGAAGGCGGCCUGCUGGACGAUGACUGACGUUGAGGCUCGAAAGCGUGGGGAGCAAACAGGAUUAGAUACCCGUGUAGUC